AACCUCUACACUGUUUUGUGCAGUGGCUGUACCAACUUACAUUCCCACCAGCAGUGUAGGAGAGGGAACCAAGCGUUUAGCAUGGGAAUGACUAGCUCAAGGUCACAUAGUAGAGGGGGCUGGGAGAGAAAGAGGGAACAAGUGACAGGUAUUGGGGUUAUAAAAGAACUAGUGAAGUUGAAGUUCAGCUAAAGUUAAGGUAACAAGGAGGUUGGAAGAAGAGGGAAUGAGUUAGAAGGGCCUUCAGAGGUUUUGUAAUCAAGGUCCAAAAAUAUCAAAAUCAGCAGGCAAGUGCCUCAGGCUUUCCCCUUCCCACCACUUCCCAGGGAGCUUUUGUAUUUGCCUGCUCACCCUCUAAGGCCUUUGGUUGUGUUAUUGCUAAUAAUAGCAAAGGAGAAUUGAAAGAUAGGCAGAAAAUCUAGAAAUAGUUAGUAUUAGAAAAAGACUAAGACCCUCGUGAAAGUUGAGGGGCAGAUCUCAGAGAAGAUCCAGGCUCAUGGUAGUUUGGAAAGCAUGGGGGUCUAGGGGUUGAUGCAAGAGUUGGCAAUACUUCAGAGACAGUGGGACAAAGAGGGGAAAGAGGACUGUCCAAAGUGUUUGUGGGUUGGGAAUGUAAUCCCCUUUUCGUGACAUUUCAAGAGACUUCAGUAAAAAUUUAAGUGGUUCAUUAAUAUUCUUUGAAUAUCACACUUGGUUUUCUGUUGAAUGAACAGUAGCCCAACAUCCUAAAGUGUGCACUGAAAAUCACCAUUGCUGAGGGAACUAGAAGGAAAUACACAACACUCAGAAAUGUUGUCAGUAUCAGGAGUAGGAUCUGGAACCCUCUGUCCCAGUCAUGCCCCUCAGCCAGCUUCACUCUUUGCUUUCAUCCUUUCAUCCCUCAGACAAAGGUAAAAAGGAGGAGAUGGUGAUCAGAGAAUGCCCACCUUUGAAACCACUUCUUUCCUAGUAGGGUGAAAAAGGAAUUCUGUAACAGCACCAAUUGCCCACCAAGAAUACACUUGCCUGGCUUUCAGUUCUCAUCUGAAGAAGCCUCUGAGACUUUCAGUGGAACUAGAAAAUUUAAAUGUGUACAAACAGCAUAUAUGGCAUAUCGUUAUGACCUACAGAACAAAAUACACAUACAUAAACACACACACACAAAGGAGAGGCGGAAGAAGACCCAUGUCCUUGGUUUGUGCUGGCAGAGUACCUGAUGAGGGGCUUCAGGACUUAGUAUAUCCAGUACCCCAUUGACAGAAAGGUUAAGGUUAUUCUGCUUUGUGAUAAACAUGCCCCACAGAAUCUUGCUUUCUCUGCCCUUGGUUCCCUUGGCCUGGGUGUUAUAUACCAUAUUUUCCAGGCAGAUCAGAAUAUGCAUUGACAAUCAUUUGCCAAAGAUUACCUGGGUGGCACCUUCUUGUAAGAAUGCAAAUGAUUCUCCUGAAUCCCGCACACGUUGAACGAAGAAUAAACAAACUUGUUGAAAUCAUCUACAUGACCUGGAAUGCUAAAAGCCUUCAGUUUGCUUGCUAUAGUGCAAAAAUAUGAGAAAUAUUUAAUCUUUAAAAAUACACAAUGGAAUCAUAAUUUUGCUGCAGGUUCAAAGAGAGCACAAUAUAACGCAGUGUAUUUAAAAUGUAAUGGCAGUGUAUAUUUUCAAAAUGCAAACAGCAGAGUUUGAUGAAUAGCUAAAGAGCACCAGACCAUAUCUUAUCCUUAUAAAAGUGUCUCCCAUGAAUGUUAACAGUAUCUCUCAGAAAAUUCUUAAUCUGCUCCGUGGCUCAGUGUGUAGACAACAACUCUAUAGAAAUGUAUGUGCCUACCUGGUGUGUGGUCUUUGUCAACUCAAAGUGAAGGUUGUAUAAACGUUGGAUGCCCAGCCUUUUACUUCAGAACAAAGAAACAAAUCUAAAAGUUUAUAGUUUUCCAGACCUCUCAUGUACCUAGUGUUUUUUAAAAUCUAUUCUUGAUACAAUGUUUUUUCUAUUUUUAAAUAAUCACACCAGAUUAUUUAUAGUAUAUCUUUGUCUGUUUUAAUCCAUGUUGAUGUCCAAUUGUAUAUUUAAAAUUCUAUUCAUUUUAUAUCAAAAAUUGAUACAUGUUCUUGUAAAAAAAAACAUGUAUAGGGUGUGUUGAAAUACAGGUAAAAAAGACAUGAAUUUGGGGGGAUUUAUUCUCUAGAAUCUGGAAACAAGGAGCGGAGCAGCACUAGCCAGCAGAGCUCUCUGCUGUGAUGGAAGCCCGUGUCGCCCAGUGUGACGGCCGCUGGCCAGCGCUCGGCCGUUACGAAGCGUUUAAAGUGUCGCUACUUCGGCUGAGGGACUGAAUUUCUUUAAAUUAGAUUGAUCCUUCCCACUCCUUUGCAGUUUCCCAGAUCUUGAGACUCAAGUCUUUGAAUAAAAAGAACAAAGUGGGCUUUGUACAGUUGCUGGUGCCAUUUGUGGCAGAGAAGGACUUUCUCGGAUUGCUUUGGGAUGAUGAAGAGCGUGUCUCUCAUCCAAGAACUGAAACGAUA